GGAGCGAGGGAACCGCCGUGGCGGCGGCUGGUGGUGACACAUCUGGGCCUGGUGGAGGCGCCGCGCUUUGGGGCCACCUUACCCGCAUUGCGUGCCUACCAUUUGCCUGUCCGGCCAGGGCGCUUUCGCGUGGUUUCACUCCACUCUUGCUCUUCGUGCUGUCAGUUAGUGGAACUCAAAAGGUGGAAAGCCCAUGGACAGCGUUAUUUUCCUACUCAUUUCGAGCUUCAGCAAGAAAUAAUGAGAAACACGUUAGAUUGUAUUAUACAUAUAGAGGUAAGUUUCCUUGUGCUUUAAGCUUUUAUGCAAGUUCACAAAAGGAGUUUCCAAAAAUUCUAUUUAAAAAUUUUUUUAAAAAUUCUUGGUAAUUUACAACGUUGUGCUAAUUUCUGCUGUACAGCAAAGUGACUCAGUUAUACAUAAAACUUCUAUUUUUGUAUGCUGUGCUGACCAUAUCUGGGUAGAAAUGAAUUUUCAGAUCUUAAUUACAAAGAUUAUAUUUGGGGGCUGCUUUAGAUUUUUGAAGUUACAUUUCCCUGUAAGGAAACUCAGUGUUUUAUCAUUAGCUAAUAAUUAGCGUGUAAGCAAGUGUCCUAAGUGAACUAAAUACAGACUUUUUCAAAGACUAGGAAAGGGGUAAUAUUAAUAAGUACAGAGUGCCAAAAAUGUAUUUAGGAGUAUUUUGACCUACUUUUGCAGUGGCGUUGUAAUGCAUGUUGUGAUUAAUGGGUGGAAAGGAGUUUGGUAAAUAAUAAAUAAAAUAAAUAAACGACUCUUGCUAAGCUUUAUACAGACUUAUAAUUAAAGACAGUGUAAAUUACAAAGCACAAAACUUCGAUGUCAUCAGAAUUGCUUUAUCUCUACAAGGUUCCAAGUUCCAUUUAUAUUUAUGAAAGUGGUGUAUAAUUCUAUAUUUGGUUCCAGAGACAUGAAGGGUGGUGAUGUUCCUAAGAAGUCCCACUGCCCUUUCUAGGUUAACACCUGUGGAUUUAUUUGUUUAUUUAUUUUUGUCUUUUGGUGGCUACACCCAUGGCAUGUGGAAGUUCCCAGGCUUCGGGUCCAAUCUGAGCUGUAGCUGCUGGACUUCGCCACAGCUCCAGCAACACCAGAUCUGAGCCUCGUCUUCGACCUACACCACAGCUCACAGCAAUGCUGGAUCCUUAACCCCCUGAACAAGGAUAGGGAUUGAAUCUGUGUCCUCACCGAUACUAGUUGGGUUCAUUACUGCUGAGCCACGACGCGGGAACUCUAACCCCUAAGGAUUUAUGAAUUAAGCUAUUAUACAGUAAUUAUAGCUGGGUUUGCCUAUUCCUUUGGCAGCCUGUCAAGUAUUGAUUAUGUUAAAUCCUAUCACUGUUCCUUCUUUUUCCUGUUACUCUCCUUUGACCUUAAAACACUGUUUAUAUUCUUUUGCAUUUCAUGUGGUCAUGAGCAUUCAUGUUAAUUUAAUAGCCCAUUUGAUAAAGCUUGCCAGGGAUGUCUGGUAGCCCCACAAAGUUAGGUUUAUUAACUUGGAGCAGAGUGAAAUUUAGGUAGAAUUUAAAUGAAGCAAUGCUUUGAAGGACUCAAAGCAAAACAAGCUGUGUCUAAAAGAGUUAACAUCAGGCUUGGCCUAAGUAGACUCAGAAUUCUAACUCCUUGGAAAUGGCAAAGUUAAUACAAAUGUGAAAUGUCAUUUCUGAAACUCUUUCCUUGAAGCAGGUAGGUUGAAAAUGAAGACUGCUUAUUCUGAGAGUCAGAGUGACACAUACAAUGGAAUACCACUCAGAAAUAAAAAGGAGUGGACUAUAAAUAUGUACAGCAAUAUUCAUGAAUCUCAACAUAAUUAUGCUGAGUGAAAGAAGCCAGGCAAAAAAAACUAUGUACUGUAUGAUUAUUUCAUUUACAUAAAACUAGAAAAUGCAAACUAAUGUAUAGUGACAGCAAAUCAGUAGUGACUUGGCAGGGGAGAUGGGGAGCAAGGAGAGGUGAGAGGGAGGGAUUAUGAAGGGGCCAGAGGAAACUGCAGAGUGAGAGAUGCGUUAUCUUUAUUGCUAUGAACUUAGCAGGUUGUAUACUUUAGAUAUUGUAGUUUGUGUCAAAUAUACCUCAAUAAACAGUUCACAGAAUUUUUUGUGUGUUUUAAGUUUUUAGGGCUGCACCUGUGGCACAUGAAAGUUUCCAGUUUAGGGGUCUAAUCAGAGCUGCUGCUGCUGGCCUCUGCGACGGUCACAGCAACGUGGGAUCCAAGCUGCAUCUGCGACCGACACCUCAACUCACAGCAACACCAGAUCCUUAAUCCACUGAGUGGAGCCAGGGAUCAAACCCACGUCCCCUUGGAUACUAGUCAGGUUUAUUGCUGGGGGCUCCCAACGGGCACGCCCACAGAAUUUUUUGAAAAGUGAUCCAGCUGCUUACUGGAGUGGCAUGCUCCAUUCUAACAUACAGUUUUUAAUAAGGUUUUUGGCCAGUCUAUGAUUUAAAAAAUGAGGUUUCUCAACACUAUAUUCUUGAUAUUAAUUAUCAAAAAAGUUUUUUUUAAAGUUUGCACAAUAAAUAUUUGCUUUUUCUAUUUUCUGGCUCUACUGUCAUUUAUUUAACGUAUUUUAUUGUUGGAUAGUUAGGUUAUUUACAGGUCUUCGUGUUUUUGCUUUUUGCUGUUAAUUGUAAUUCUGUCAUGAACAUGCUUGUUUUUGUGAAUAUCCAUAAUACCAUCUUGAGGAUGGCAUCCUGCCACUGUGAUUGCCUGAGCCAUAGCCCACAGUAUGUAAUUUAACACUUCUAGUUUGGAAGUUUUAAGGGGCCUGAAGAAGUUCUACCUAAAGCCUCUCAUUUCAUAGAAGAGAAAAAGGAAGCUUGAAAGGGUUAAGUGUUGUCCCUUAGAGUCAGAGUGGCUGAACUGUUAGUAGAACCCAGUCUUUCCUGCUCUUUACCCCUUGGUUGGUCCUUUUUUUCAGUAAACUCUGUGAUGGGUUUGGGGAUUCGUGUGCACAUUUGUUUGCUCAGACUUCCUUAACAAAAUUCCAUAGACUAGGUAGCUUCAAAAAAAUUUUUUUUUUUUUUUGCGUUUUAGGGUUGCACCCACGGCAUGUGGAGGUUCCCAGGCUAGGGGUCAAAUCAGAGCUACAGCUGCCAGCCUGUGCUACAGCCACAGCAACGCUAGAUCUGGACCUUGUCUGUCCUACACCACAGCUCGUGGCAACGCUGGAUCUGAGCGAGACCAGGGAUCAAAACCCACAUCCUCAUGGAUCCUAGUCGGGUUCGUUAACCCCUGAGCCACAAAGGGAACUCUAACAAUUAGAAUUUAUUUUCUCACAGUUCUGAAGGCUGGAAUUCCAAGAUCCUGGGGGCAGCAUGGUUUGUGUUCUGGUAAAGGCUCUCUUCCUGACUUACAGAUUGCCACUGUCUUGCCAUGUCCUCACAUGGUGGAGAAAGAGCAAGUGAGUUGUAUGGUAGCUCUUCUUAUAAGGAUUCUAAUCCUGUCAGAUCAGGGCCCCACCCUUAUGACUUGAUUUAACCUUAAUUGCUUCCUUAAAAGCCCUGUCUCCAAUUACAGUCAUGUUGGGGUUAAGGCUUCAACAUAGGAAUUUGGAGGGGGGACAUAUUCAAUUUGUAACAGUACAGGAAGCCUCCCUUCAAGUAGCUUACUUCUUGAGGGCCCAUGCAAGAAAAAUGUUGAUGUGGGACCCCUAGGGGGAUGGGUUUAUGGUAAAGCAGGGAAUAGUUGAGUAUGCCAAGAAUUUGGAGAUACGGUCAGGAAAGGUCUUAUUCUUAGAACGGUAAGAAUUAGUAAAUAAAGUUCUCUGCAGGAGUUCCCUUGUGGCUGAGGGGGUGAAGGAUCUGAUAUCACUGUAGGCUCAGAUCUGAUCCCUGGCCCAGGAUUUUCACAUGAUGUGGGUGUGGCCAAAAAAUUCUCUGCAAACAUAUCAUAAGCUGAAAGAUAGUUUGUACAUGUGUUGCUGAAAGGGCCAGGAUACUUCCAAGCCUCUUUAAAAAAAGGGAAGAUUUGCUAAGAACUUGUACAGCACUAAAAACUGGUUGGGGCAUGAGGGUGGAGGCCAGGGGAAGCAGAAACGACUAUGAUAACAAAAGUGAAAGUUGUGAUAUAUUCAUUCAGUGGAAUGCUAUGCAGCAAUGAACAUGUCCAAGGAUACUCAUUCCAAUACUGUGCAUGUCAAGUUUAAAAAAGAGGCUUAGAAGGAGUUCGCACUGUGGUGCAGUAGGUUAAGCAACCCAAGCAGUGACUUGGGUUGCUUCAGAGGUGAGGGUUCAAUCCUCGGUCCGGUGUUGCAGCAGCUGCAGCUUGGAUUCAGUCCCUGGCCAGGGAACUUCCAUAUGCCUCAGGUACAGCCGUAAAAUUAAAAAAAAAAAAAUAUUGCUGGAGUUCCCAUGGUGGCUCAGUAGGUUAUGAACCCAACUGGUAUUGUUGCUGAAACUCGGCCUCUGUCCACUAUUGCCGAAUAAAAAUUAGGUAAGAGUUUUGGGUGAAGGAGAAAAAGAUAGCUUUAUUGCUUUGCCAGGCAAAGUGAGUCGCAGCAGGUUAAUGCCUUCAAGAUUGUGCUUAAAAACAUCAAUAGUGUUUUUAUCUCUUAAACUAGGUCAUGGGUACAAGAGUGCUCCUUAUCCCUACAUUCUCUAUGCCCGAAAUACUUUGUAGUUAAAUUUAAGUGACAAAAAUUAAAUGAAAAAAGCAAUAGUUUGCACAGAAGUGGGGUUAAAUAAUGGAGGUGCAAUUGCUGCUGUAACAUUGUUUUGUGUGUGUGUGUGUGUGUGUGUGUGUGUGUGUGUGUGUGUGUGUGUGUCUUUUUAGGGCCGCACCAUGGCAUAUGGAAGUUCCCAGGCUAGGGGUCAAAUCAGAGCUGUAGCUGCCAGCCUAUGCCACAGGGUCAGAGCCGCAUCUGCGACCUAUGCCACAGCUCAUGGCAAGGCUGGAUCCAUAACCCAUUGAGCAAGGCCAGGGAUCAAACCUGCAUCCUCGUGGAUACUAGUCAGAUUUGUUUCUGCUGAGCAACAAUGGGAGCUCUGCUGCUGUAAUUUUUUUUUUCUUCUGAAGGCUGUUUACAUAUUUCUUUUUUUAAAUUAUUUUUAUUUUUCCGUUAUAUUUGGUUUACAGUAUUCUGUCAAUUUUCUACUGUACAGCAAAGUGGCCCAGUCGGACAUGUAUAUAUAUGUAUAUAUACACACAUACAAUACACAAUGAAAUACUACUCAGCCAUAAAAAAGAAAAAAAUGCCUUUUGCAGCAACAUGGAUGGAACUAGAGACUCUCAUACUAAGUGAAGUAAGUCAGAAAGGGAACAACAAAUACACUAUGAUAUCACUUAUAUCCAGAAUCUAAUAUAGAGCACAAAUAAACCUUUUCAUAGAAAAGAAACGCUGCUGCUGCUGUAAUCUUAUAGUGGAGAAAGGUAUAUUGAACCUUAUCAGUAGAUAUCCCCUAAGGUCAUUUAACCCCCUUUGCUAUGAUUUCAUGAUCAGCACACCACACCCACCUUGUAAUGAGCAUCUCCUUAAUCCGUUUGUUUUUUAUUUUUUUGACUUUUCAGUGCCAUACCUGUGCGGUACAUGGAGGUUCCCAGGCUAAGGGUCUAAUCAGAGUUGUACCUGACAGUGUAUACCACAGCCACAGCAACAUGAGAUCUGAGCCGCAUCUGCCACCUACACCAGAGCUCAUGGCAACGCCAGAUCCUUAACCCACUGAGUGAGGCCAGGGAUCAAACCUGUGUCCUCAUGGAUAUUGGUCAGAUUUGUUUCUGCUGAGCCACAGUGGGAACUCCCAAUCUUCAGUAAUCUGUAUCCUCUUUGCAGUUAGGUUUAUUAAUGUAAAUUAUGCAUUCUCAGGGUGGGGCAAUAUAGUUCCCAUGAGGAUGAAAGUAUUGGUUUGGGGGCAGAAAACCCUUUUUUAAUGUAUAAAGUGCAGAUAUAUACUACAUGCACAGAUAUACAAUAGAUUUGUGGCAUUAAAAUUGCAUAUGGAAAAAUAUCUAAAAAAGCCCUUAGGCGAUAACUGAAAAAAUGGUUGAGAAAUACUGCUCCAAAGGAGAAAUUGGCACUGUGUGUGUCAGGCUUUAUUUUAUUUUUUUUUAAAUAAUGAUUUCUAUUCUUUCCAGGAGUUCCUGUUGUGGCACAGUGGAGACAAAUCUGACUAGGAACCAUGGGGUCACAGGUUUGAUCCCUGGCCUUCAUCAGUGAGUUAAGGAUCUGGCAUUGCCAUGAGCUGUGGUGUAGGAUGCAGGUGUGGCUUAGAUCUGGCAUUGCUGUGGCUGUGGCCUAGGCUGGCAGCUAUAGCUCCAGUUUGACGCCUAGCCUGGGAACCUCAAUAUGCCACAGGUGCAGCC
rnacentral:lncRNA from 1 species